UACGUAGGGUGCGAGCGUUGUCCGGAAUUACUGGGCGUAAAGAGCUCGUAGGUGGUUUGUCGCGUUGUUCGUGAAAACUCACAGCUCAACUGUGGGCGUGCGGGCGAUACGGGCAGACUGGAGUACUGCAGGGGAGACUGGAAUUCCUGGUGUAGCGGUGGAAUGCGCAGAUAUCAGGAGGAACACCGGUGGCGAAGGCGGGUCUCUGGGCCGUAACUGACGCUGAGGAGCGAAAGCGUGGGGAGCGAACAGGA
rnacentral:rRNA from 1 species